GUAGUGACAGAGGUGAUGAAAGUAGAGGAGGUUAGUAGCAUUAGUAGUUCGGAACGAGGCAGAGAUGAUAGAGGAUAGUAAUAGUAGUAGUAGUAGUAGUAGUAGUAGUAGUAGUAGUAGUAGUAGUAUCAAGAGUAGCAGCAGCAGCAGUAGUGGGUAUAGCAAUGACUAGUGGGAUGGGAAGUUUGAUAAUACUACAGCUCACCCCCUGCUAUAAGUCCCUCUGCCCUCCCAGCAAACACAGACACAGCCUCCCGCCGCCCCUCCAGCUACAAAGACCCACGGUGACUCGGGAUUAAUAUCUGAAGGAGGAGGCGGGGGCUCUCUUUCCCCAGCAGCCCAGAGGGAAACUGAGGCAGACUGGCGUUGGUGGAAGCCGAGGUGGAAAUGGUGGUGGUGGUGGUGGUUUUCUGGGGACUGGUGAGGGAGAGUAGAGGACGGUGGUUGUGUGUGUGUGUGUGUGUGUGUGUGUGUGUGUGUGUGUGUGUGUGUGUGUGUUUCUUUGUUUGUCUUUCUGUGUGUGUGUGUGUGUGUGUGUGUGUGUGUGUGUGUGUGUGUGUGUGUGUGUGUGUGUGUGUGUGUGUGUGUGUGUGUGUGUGCUACUACUCUCACUUGUUGAGCGUUUUCUAUCUUUAUUUUUUAUUUUUAUUUCUUUCUCACUUUUAUCCCUUGCAUUUUCCCCGUCUGUUAUUUAUUUAUCAAUUCGUGUAUCUAUUUUGGCCACGGCUUUGGGGAGUGUUGGGAAGGAAGGCAGAGCGUCCAGCGUACAGUACUUGAGGACACCACAGGUAACUCCCCGCCUCCCGCCUCCCCUGCUUCGAAUCGUCACCAGGUAUAAUAUCUAAACUUCUAAAUGUCCGGGUCUGUGGGAGUGUACAGUUUACGAGAUCAUUAAAAUGUUAUAUGAAGAUAACGCUUUACCUCUCCACCUCUCGCGCGAGUAUCGAUUCAAACGUGGCGCUGCUGCUUCGCUCCGCCCCCGUGGCCACGCCUGCCCCGACGCUCAUUGGCUCUCGCACCCAAUAAUUAUUUAUUUUAUGGGUUGUCGGAAAAUUCUGGCGGACAAUGUUUCUUCUUUUCCACAAGUCUUUUUGUACUGCUGUCUAUUUUUCCUUCAAGCUUCCGUCACGCCCGUCAUCUAGGAGUGCUCUAGGCGGGUCACAGAGACCGCAGCCACGGCCUUGUAGCUUCUUCAAACAUGGCACUCCUAAAUGCUACCACUCGCCAUCUUCCCUCCCAUGGGGUGUGUCUCCCGCCAACUCGGUCGCCGUUCAGUGGCAGACGACACUCGGCAGCGUUAGCAUUUAGGGAGGCGGCCCAUACUCACGUAUAUCAGUCGGACCUUUAGUUAAACCCUGAACAAAGCGUGUGGCUCCCGCCUCCCGCUCGCUACGGUGCCGGAAAUUCCAGCCGAGAAGGACCGGACACCAAGAUGGCUCGGAUAUUCUCGGAUGGCGGGGCGAUAGCAGACGACGCGCUUAGAGCCAUCUUUGACGGAGGUGGCGGCAGUCGGGAGGGUGGCGCGGCGGGGCCAGCGUGGGCGGCGAGUGAGUCCCGGCGUGCCCCUCCUGCAGCACACACGCUCCUCCCGCCGCUCCUCUGGUCCCUGCCUGCCUUCCACAUAGCCGCCGUCACACAACAGUGUCUUUGCUGUGCCAGUGCUGACUUGUCCCGUCUCCAAAAAGUGGCACUGAGAGCCAAAGACUCGACCUGGCAGCCGCGCCUCUCUGGGUGGAGGCGGCGACGCGGUGGAGGGUGGAAGAGGACAGCAUGGUGGAGGGUGACGCAACAGUAGCGGACACACUGGCGUCUCAUUAUGAGGAGCUGACGAAGAGAUGUAGCCGAAUGGAGCCUUCUGCAGGAGUGGCUGACUGCGGUGGCUGGGUGGCUGGCUAGGCGGCUUCCCUGGCCUCGUGUGUAUGGGUAAUGUAGGGCAGUGCUUGGCGGGGGGUCAGGGUAAGUGAGGGAGUGUCAGGGAGGGUGGUGGAAGGGAAGCUAAGGGGAGAGGGAUGGUUACGGGGGAGAGAGAAGGGACAGGGGUGUGGGGUAGGAAUGGUUAGAGGUAGCAGCUGGGAAGGGUAUGUCUCUCUCUCUCUCUCUCUCUCUCUCUCUCUCUCUCUCUCUCUCUCUCUCUCUCUCUCUCUCUCUCUCUCUCUCUCUCUCUCUCAGCAGGCAGUGUGUGUGUGUGUGUGUGUGUUCACCCACUGCAUGUUUUUCUUCCUUUCUUACUUCCUUCCUCCUUCUCCCUUUCCUUUCUUCCUUCCUUCCUUCCUUCCUCCCUUUCCUUCCCUCGUCAACACCUUCCUAGUUCCACCCUUUCCUUCCCUUCCUCCCUAUCACCCCUCGUGUAUAUAUAAGCUGUACGGAAGAGGAUAUGGGGAGGACACACACACACACACACACACACACACACACACACACACACACACACACACACACACACACACACACACACACACACACGGGAGCAGCUAGUCAGUCAUGUCACGAGAAAUAAAAUCCAGAAAUAAGUAGGAAGCCCAGAAUAGCGAGACCCCCCAUCGGGUUAGACAAUGUUAUUUGACGGGGUGGACUUUUUCGCGUGUGUGUGUGUGUGGCGCGGGGGGGGACGGGGGGGCGUGAGAUGUGUAGGCGCGAACAUUAGUGCUCGCCAAGACGCCUCGGUCCAAAAUGAAUGGGACAUGAAUGGUUCCUGGCCAGCUGCUGUGCCCUCUCUCUCUCUCUCUCUCUCUCUCUCUCUCUCUCUCUCUCUCUCUCUCUCUCUCUCUCUCUCUCUCUCUCUCUCUCUCUCUCUCUCUCUCUCUCUCUCAGUUUGUCCGUCCGUCGGUUCGUUCGUCUGUCUGUGUAUGUGAGUAAGACUCGUGUCUGCUUGUGUGCUCACUUUUAUGUGUGUUUUUACGUUUCUUGAUUCUGUAUUGUGUGUGUGUGUGUGUGUGUGUGUGUGUGUGUGUGUGUGUGUGUGUGUGUGUGUGUGUGUGUGUGUGUGUGUGUGUGUGUGUGUGUAUCAUUUACAUGUACACAUUUACGUAUACGUUGCCUUCACACUCACUGACAAUCUCAUUUGCGUGGCCGUGCGCACACUAGCAUUCAGACCCACGGCUUUGAUGGCCACUUAAUGCAGGCGACUGUGCUGGAUUAGAAGAGACCUUAAUUUCAUGCCGCCACAGGUCACUGCUGGAGGGUGAGGUGAACUGCAGGCUGGAUGGCUGGCUGGCUGGACGAGGGUGGCGGUGGUGGCGGAGGGCGAGGCAGUGCAGGGAGCAAGGAAAGGUAGCGACGAGGAAGGCGAAGGUGGUGUUGAAAGGGGGGCGCGGAAACAGGGGAAUGAAAAUGUAUGUAUGUAUGCAUGUGUAUAUGUAUGGUGGAUGCACAGUGUAGGCAGGUUUGAGUAUGGCGUGAGGGAAAGGCGUUUUAACGGAGGAAGAAAGACGUAGGGUGGAAACGGUAACACGAUCAUGAUGGGUAAGAGUGGAUGUGUUGAGGGGACAUUGUGGUGGUAGGGGAAGACAGGGCGGCGGACGGAAGGGUGGUAGGGCGGCAAGGCGGUGGGGAGGACCAGACGUGCUGACAGGGAGAGAGAGGGAGGGCGCGAGGCGAGGCAAAGGCAGGGAAGGCGACAGUGAGUGAGACGCAAAAGUGGAAACUGAACGGCCGGCGGAAAGGAAGGAAUGGAAGGGAAGAGAGAGAGAGAGAGAGAGAG